AAACAUCAGUUCUCGUAUGAUCACUGAAGUUAAGCAACAUUGAGCCUGUUCAGUAUUUAGAUGGGUGACCACUUGGGAAUACCAAGUGCUGUAAG